rnacentral:rRNA from 1 species
AUUGAACGCUGGCGGCAGGCCUAACACAUGCAAGUCGAACGGUAACAGGAAGAAGCUUGCUUCUUUGCUGACGAGUGGCGGACGGGUGAGUAAUGUCUGGGAAACUGCCUGAUGGAGGGGGAUAACUACUGGAAACGGUAGCUAAUACCGCAUAACGUCGCAAGACCAAAGAGGGGGACCUUCGGGCCUCUUGCCAUCGGAUGUGCCCAGAUGGGAUUAGCUAGUAGGUGGGGUAACGGCUCACCUAGGCGACGAUCCCUAGCUGGUCUGAGAGGAUGACCAGCCACACUGGAACUGAGACACGGUCCAGACUCCUACGGGAGGCAGCAGUGGGGAAUAUUGCACAAUGGGCGCAAGCCUGAUGCAGCCAUGCCGCGUGUAUGAAGAAGGCCUUCGGGUUGUAAAGUACUUUCAGCGGGGAGGAAGGGAGUAAAGUUAAUACCUUUGCUCAUUGACGUUACACGCAGAAGAAGCACCGGCUAACUCCGUG